GACGAACGCUGGCGGCGUGCUUAACACAUGCAAGUCGAACGGAAAGGCCCUGCUUUUGUGGGGUGCUCGAGUGGCGAACGGGUGAGUAACACGUGAGUAACCUGCCCUUGACUUUGGGAUAACUUCAGGAAACUGGGGCUAAUACCGGAUAGGAGCUCCUGCUGCAUGGUGGGGGUUGGAAAGUUUCGGCGGUUGGGGAUGGACUCGCGGCUUAUCAGCUUGUUGGUGGGGUAGUGGCUUACCAAGGCUUUGACGGGUAGCCGGCCUGAGAGGGUGACCGGCCGGAUUGGGACUGAGCUACGGGCCAGACUCCUACAGGAGGGAGCAGUGGGGAAUAUUGCACAAUGGGCGGAAGCCUGAUGCAGCAACGCCGCGUGCGGGAUGACGGCCUUCGGGUUGUAAACCGCUUUCGCCUGUGACGAAGCGUGAGUGACGGUAAUGGGUAAAGAAGCACCGGCUAACUACGUG
rnacentral:rRNA from 1 species